rnacentral:rRNA from 1 species
GAUUAUGGCUCAGGAUGAACGCUAGCGACAGGCUUAACACAUGCAAGUCGAGGGGCAGCAUAAAAGUAGCAAUACUUGGUGGCGACCGGCGCACAGGUGAGUAACGCGUAUGCAACCUACCUAUCAGAGGGGAAUAACCCGGCGAAAGUCGGACUAAUACCGCAUAAAACAGGGGCACCGCAUGGUGAUAUUUGUUAAAGAAAUUCGCUGAUAGAUGGGCAUGCGUUCCAUUAGGUAGUUGGUGAGGUAACGGCUCACCAAGCCGACGAUGGAUAGGGGAACUGAGAGGUUGGUCCCCCACACUGGUACUGAGACACGGACCAGACUCCUACGGGAGGCAGCAGUGAGGAAUAUUGGUCAAUGGGCGGGAGCCUGAACCAGCCAAGUCGCGUGAAGGAAAAGAAGGAUCUAUGGUUCGUAAACUUCUUUUGCGAGGGGAAUAAAGUGCAGGACGUGUCCUGUUUUGUAUGUACCCUGAGAAUAAGGAUCGGCUAACUCCGUGCCAGCAGCAGC